GAUGAACGCUGGCGGCGUGCCUAAUACAUGCAAGUCGAGCGAACAGACGAGGAGCUUGCUCCUCUGACGUUAGCGGCGGACGGGUGAGUAACACGUGGAUAACCUACCUAUAAGACUGGGAUAACUUCGGGAAACCGGAGCUAAUACCGGAUAAUAUAUUGAACCGCAUGGUUCAAUAGUGAAAGACGGUUUUGCUGUCACUUAUAGAUGGAUCCGCGCCGCAUUAGCUAGUUGGUAAGGUAACGGCUUACCAAGGCAACGAUGCGUAGCCGACCUGAGAGGGUGAUCGGCCACACUGGAACUGAGACACGGUCCAGACUCCUACGGGAGGCAGCAGUAGGGAAUCUUCCGCAAUGGGCGAAAGCCUGACGGAGCAACGCCGCGUGAGUGAGGAAGGUCUUCGGAUCGUAAAACUCUGUUAUUAGGGAAGAACAAAUGUGUAAGUAACGAUGCACGUCUUGACGGUACCUAAGCAGAAAGCCACGGCUAACUACGU
rnacentral:rRNA from 1 species